ACUCCUGACCUUGUGAUUCGCCCACCUCAGCCUCCCAAAGUGCUGGGAUUAUAGGUGUGAGCCACCGCGACUGGCCUUACACCAUGUUUUCUUAAUGUCAGCACAACUGGCAUUUGGGCUGGAUGAUGCUGUGAUUUGUGGGGGCUGCCCUGUGCCCUGCAGGGUGCUUGGUGCCCCCCCUCCCCCAGCCUCCACCCACUGGAUACCAGUAGCAUCUGCCCCUCCACUGUGACGACCAAAACUGUCUCCAGAUGCACUAGAUGCUCCCUUGGGAACAAAAGCCCUGGGUGAGAACAAUUGACCUAAAUGGAUUUCAUCUCUGUAGGUGGGAUGCCAGGAAGUGUGAUUAAGCAAAAGCCUGGUCUCCAGGAUGGGGCCAGCUCGUCCGAGCCGCAGGGAUGGACACAUCAUGCUCUCUUCAACUCAACCAGUGGGAGGAUCUGAGAGACCAGGGAAGAGGGGCGUGUCGGAGCCAGAAGUGGACUUACCCGGGCACCUUCCUGCACGAGACCAGGGAAGAGGGGCGUGUCCGAGCCGGGAACUGCACUCACCUGGGCACCUUCCUGCACGAGACCAGGGAAGAGGGGCGUGUCCGAGCCGGGAACUGCACUCACCCGGGCACCUUCCUGCCCUCCUCCUGACGCCCUCAGAAUGAGGCUCUCCCUGUCCCCAUCCCCACCCUCCCGUGAGGUGGGGGCCGAUCCUCUCCACUUGUCUGAGGAGCAUGAGGUUCUAUCUCACUUGGGCAACUACAACAAAGUACCUACGGCUCGGGGGCUUAAACAACAGAAAUUUAUUUCUCACAGUUCUGGAAGCCAGAGGUCAAGAUCCAGGUGCGGGCAGACUCGGUUCCUGUGAGCGCCGGCUUCCUGGCUUGCUGACGAUGCCUUCCCAUGUCCCCACGUGGCACGAAGCAGAGAACAGGACCCAGCGCUCGUGUCUCUUCCCCUGAGGGGGCUGAGGCAGAGCCUGCUGGGUGCCGAGGGUGGUGCCCUCGUGUUUGCUGGUGAGGUGGGGCAGCAGGCCGCCUGCAGAGCCUCAGGACUGGCCAGGCUCCAGCUUUGUGCAGCCCCUGCUGUGCUGCUUGGAGAACCCAGCCUUUCUGAACCAUCCACCUGGUGUGGCGUUAGGUGACUUUGUUCCGGAUGCGGCGUGGGGAGGGCUGUGACAGCCCAUGGGCCUUGCCAAGGCUGGGCGGCCCUGCCCAAAGCCUACUGGACAACUGGCCAAGCAAGGCCCUGCCCUGAACCACACAAGCCCCAGGCCAGUGACUGAGGCCACAUCUGGCUGGAGGCUCCAGCGACGUCCAGACCCAGGUCAAAGUGGCCAUCUGUCAUCUGACAGGUUGACACGCACCUUCCUUGGGCCGAGUGUCUGUGCCCGCCCCCCUGCCCCGCACUCAGUGUGCAGUAGGCCAGCGGUCCCAGGCAAAGCAGUUUCCUGUUGGGAUGAGGAUCAGCUCCAGAGAAGCACGAAGACGACUGUCACAGCUUCUCCAUGUGGCUGAAGGCGUAGGAGGGGGCGCGUGGGAGGCCACUUGUGACACCUGUGGACCGGAGAUGACAACAUACGGGGUUUGGGGAUGUCGAUGAUGAGGUCCCGGAGCUACAGUUCGAUUUCUGCCCUUUCCGGAUGCCUCCAGAGCCACCGUCGCUCCCCAGCCUGUUCCUGCCGUCACAGACAGGGUCUCUCUUACCGAAGCUGGAGUGCAGUGGUGCCAUCAUGCCAUCACUGCAGCCGGGACCUCCUGGAUUAAAGCGGUUCUCCCACCUCAGCCUCCUGGGCAGCUAGGAUCACAGGCAGGCCACCCAGCCCAGAUGAUUUUCGCAGUUUUGUAGAGACAGGGUUUCUGUGUUGCCCAGGCUGGUCUCAAACUCUUGGACUCAAGCAGUCUGCCCACCUCAGCCUCCCAAAGCUCUGGACUUACAGGCAUAAGUCGCCUGGCCUGGCCUCGGUUUUUCACUUUUGGUCCCACCAUUCCAGUGCCGAGCCUGUGAGACUGGAGUCAUGACCCAGCAGGACUGCACCUGCACCUGAGGGGGAGCAGAGGUUCCGGCGAGAGGACGGUGCUGGAGGUGCUGAAGGGACAGCGCCCGUGUGGAAUCCGCUGCCACCCUGGCCGCCUGGGUGAGGACCAACUGUCUCCCCCGCUGGAGCUGGGCGCCACGUACGUCUGAAUUCUGCUCAUCCUCUCUGGAGUCCUGUCGAUGCAGUCUUGGCAAAGAUUGCUUGAGCCUGAAUGCUUUUCCCAUCUAUUUUUAAAUAAAUGGAAUUCCUCAUGCUUGGAUGAAAUUUACCCCAACUGGGCAUUUUCACGACCCGCUUUGCCUGGGCGCAGAGGAGGGGACAGGGGGUAGGCAUGCGGGUAACCAGAUUGCUGACAAUGUAGCCCGUGGGUGUGCAAGACACAAAAUUAAAAACAUAAAUGAUUAAUGAGCUGGCUCUUUGAAAGGACAUCCUAAACAAAGGAGGAAGCAAAGAUUUUCAAGCCUUGAUGCAGGAUUUGCUUUCCAGAACCUUCCAAGGUGUGGCAAAGCUGCUGAAGCCAACGCCAUUUGUAGACGGGAGAACCACGAGCUGCAGGGUGCAAAGCUCCACCUGCAUCCAGAGCUGGCCCCUCCAGCCUGGCAUCCCCACAGGGGCCACACUCUCAGCCACCCCCAGGAGGCUGUGAAGCCAGCUGAUGGCUCCCCAAGACUUCAGGAGGGUGUUCCCCUUUUUUUCCUGAAAAAUAAGAUGAACAGGUUUGUCUCUCCCAAUGUCCUGGAACACCAGAGCACCUUAAUCCUUGCUCCCAUCUCAGCUCUGGUGCAUCUGCUACAACGGGAACUGGGGAUCCCUUUUCCUUCAUCCUCUAUGGAUCAGCCCUAACCUUGGGUCCCACGUGGCUCUGACAUCAAACCUGAGACGACUGCUUCCCCAGGAGGGGCUGCGCACAGCCCGGGCACUGCCGAGGGACACCGGAUAGUCUGAGGCUUCCCCCAACAGGAUGAGGGGCCCCAGCCCUGCCGGGUUUACAUUUUGAGCUACGGCUGCUCCCUCGGGUCUUCUGGUGAGUGGGAAAGACCAGCGGCGCCAGCCAGCGUGUGAGGGGAGAUGCCGCGGUGCCCUCUUCCUUCUGUGCACUGACGUCCUCUCCCUCCCCGAACACACCGGGCUGGUGCCUCCUCCCUUAAAAACGGAGAGAAACCACAGCUGCCUGGGGCAAGCCCACUUCAUGCUGGUUAUCACAGCCCAUGUGUGGGCACAGAGGCAGGGAGGCGGGGGUCCGGAGCGUGCCCCCGAAUGUGCACUAGCUUGUGUAAGUUGCUGUCUAUCCCCAACAUCCUGGAUAAUGUACAGGGU
rnacentral:lncRNA from 1 species